rnacentral:misc_RNA from 1 species
AUGGUGGAUUUAAUGUCUUUAUUUAAUAUAUUUGUAUUUAUUAUUUAGUUAUAUAUUUUAGUUUUAAUUAUGUUUUUGAAAUAUUUAUUCAUUUCAUGAAAUUUGCAAAUUUUUUAAAAAAAUUUGCGUAACGACAGGCUGUAACCGUUAUGUUACGGCCAUUACAGGCUUGCUUCUGUUACUCGCGACCGUGGCGGCGAAUGUGGCCACGACCGCGAUUUAAAACUAGAUGAAGUUCCUAAUUUGUUGUAAUCCCUAACGAUGAAAAGCGUUACAUGAAGGAAUUACCUUUUAAUAUUUUGCGG